rnacentral:lncRNA from 1 species
AUACUUGUAGGCCCGACCCUUAGAGGAAGCCGAAGAAACAAAGGAUUUCGACCUUCAUAAACUUAUAUUAGGUUCGGCCAUCAAUGUACAAAGUACCAUUUAGCUUAGUGGUAUAAAUGUUGGUAUAAAUGUUGGUGUUUAUAUCUCAAUAACCUGGGUUCGAGUUAUGGGCUUAACACUUUUUCACACUUUUUAAAAGUGGAACCCAUAAAACGCUGACGUGGUGUGCUGAGGAGUGAGCAAAAACUCAACAAUUAUAUUAUAGAUUCUGUUUACAUUUGAAAGAACUACUAAUACUAGUUUCCCUGCGCGAAAGGAUAGUGUUAAUUUUAUAACAUGUUUAAUAUUUAUCAUAAGAUUUUUGAUAUUAUAAUUUAACACUUAGAUUAUGAUAUGGCAGAGAAAGAAAACAAGUCGUUAGUUGGAGAGCUCUCUCUCUCUCUCUCAUCUAUGUUCCCUCUCUGGGAUCUUUCAUAGGGAAGAGAGAGAGUGAUUGUUUUUUUUUUGUUUUUUGUAUAUUUUUUUGUUUUGAUUGCCGAUGGUUUCUUGCGACAUACACUCAUGUCCUUCGGGCCCUGACUCUGGGAAGCGGUGUCUCUCUAGCAACGUCUUCGCCGGCUUUUGCCUCUUGGAAGUGAUGGCUUCUGUCGCAUCAUCUUUGCUGGCUUCCUCCCGGAUUUUUUCCCCGGUUUUAUGUUUAAUUGGCAUUUUUUUCGUUCUCUUUUGCAACAGACUCUUGAGCUAAUCCUUUGAUUUCUCUUCCUUCCCCUCUGUUCGGGUAGUUUCAUUCUCAAGCUUAUCCUUAUCAUUUAGGAUGACAGAUUGUUCAUAUAAGAUAAUCGAAGUUGAUAAUCUCGAUUGAAACCGGUUGAAUUUCUUUUUGGAAACGUUUAAUCCGUUAGUUUAGGUUUAACGAUGCCGAUCGUGGUGAGGGUUGCUCUGUUUGAGCGGCUUCUUCUCCAGCUCGUCUCUACUGGUUGUGGAAUUCUGUCGUCGCACGCCUCUCUCUAGCUCCAUAGGAAGACGAUGGCUGUUUCUUUGACGCGUGUUUCUAAAUCGUUUGUCGACUGAACACGUGGUGGGUGACUCUUCAUCUCUUCCCCGACGGUUU